CAGUAGCCGCGGUAAUACGAAGGGGGCUAGCGUUGCUCGGAAUUACUGGGCGUAAAGGGAGCGUAGGCGGAUCGUUAAGUUGGGGGUGAAAGCCCGGGGCUCAACCUCGGAACUGCAUUCAAUACUGGCGAUCUUGAGUGCAGAAGAGGAGAGUGGAAUUCCACGUGUAGCGGUGAAAUGCGUAGAGAUGUGGAGGAACACCAGUGGCGAAGGCGACUCUCUGGUCUGUAACUGACGCUGAGGAGCGAAAGCGUGGGGAGCGAACAGGAUUAGAUACCCGCGUAGUCCCUGUCUCUUAUAC
rnacentral:rRNA from 1 species